GUUCCCUGGGGGAAGGUUGGGAGUUCCUUGGGUGUUCCUUGUGGGAAGGUUGGGAGUUCCUUGGGUGUUCCCUUUGGGAAGGUUGGGAGUUCCUUGGGUGCUCCUUGGGGGAAGUUUGGGAGUUCCUUGGGUGUUCCCUGGGGGAAGGUUGGGAGUUCCUUG